rnacentral:lncRNA from 1 species
GUUUUCAGACAAGAGCUUCAUGAGAUGGGCUGAGCCAUCAAAGGAUGUGAUAUCCGAGUCAUACUCCAUUCCGUGGUACUGCCUCUUUCCUAGUUCAUUACGUCCCAUCAUACCCGAUGGAAGAAUCCUCUUCUCCUUUGGGACCAUAUAGUAGUCAUAGAGGAGGCUCAGGGCAGCCACACUGUCAUCAUCUCCAUUCACCCUCAUCAUGGCCUUAGUUGCUGCAGUCAGGGGGUUCUCCAGGUAGGUUUUCCAGGCUUCAUCUUCAUUAGUGUAGGAGAACUUCUGGAAGUUCAUGGUGUCAUUCUUCAUCAGACGCACAGAUCUAAAAUCGAGUUCAUU